rnacentral:lncRNA from 1 species
GUGGUAAUUGAAAUAGUCAAUCAGUGAUUAUAUAAAAUGAGAUAGUUAUAAUUAUAAAUAAGAUACAGUGAGAUAUAUAACAUUUGAACUAUUAAUUCUCUGUUUCUGAGAUCUGGGAACAGAGAUGAGAUGAAUAAAUGUGUAAAGUUUCUAAAGAACACCCAUCCAAGUUUUGAUAAUAAUGUUUUUGUCGACAUAAUAAAUUAGCGGCGGCUUAGGGAAGGAUUAAGGACGGGAAGUUAAAACAAAAUCUUAUUUAAAAAUAAUUAAUUAGCGAAAGACUAGAGACGGAAAGUUGAAACAGAAACUUAUUAAAAAAUGAUUAGAGACGGACGGAUUAAAGACAGAAAUUUUAGAAAGAAAUUUAUUAAAAAAUAAUUGGUGACGGAAAUAAAAAUUUAGGUGACAAAUUAUGAUACGACGAUCAAGACCGUCCCUCCCUGUAGCUAAUAUUUAGGGACAGAAAUCAUGGCCGUCCCUAAAAAUUCAGCGAGACGACUUUAUUCCCUAAUGGAUUAAAGAGUCGCUAAUGACAAUUAGCGACGGUUUUUUAUCAUUAGCGACGACUUUUGGAAAGACAUAAACGGAUAUGAUACAUACCUUAUUUAAAAUACAUAUAUAGUGAUCAUACAUACAUACAUACAUACAUACAUACAUACAUACAUACAUACAUACAUACAUACAUACAUACAUACAUACAUACAUACAUACAUACAUACAUACAUACAUACGUUUGGGUAAGCAAAUUCUCACAAAAAAGCCUUGUCACGUCGAGACCACGGAUUACUCUUAGAAGG